rnacentral:tRNA from 1 species
GCCACUUUAGCUCAGUGGUAGAGCGUCUGCUUUGUAAGCAGAAGGUCUAUUUCAAUCGUGGCAAGUAGCU